rnacentral:tRNA from 13 species
UCCCCGGUAGCUCAGUCGGUAGAGCAAGUGACUGUUAAUCACUGGGUCGGCGGUUCGAGCCCGUCCCGGGGAGCCA